AUUGAACGCUGGCGGCAUGCUUUACACAUGCAAGUCGAGCGGCAGCGCGGGGGCAACCCUGGCGGCGAGCGGCGAACGGGUGAGUAAUGCAUCGGAACGUGUCCGGAAGUGGGGGAUAACCCGCCGAAAGGCGGGCUAAUACCGCAUAUUCUCUGUGGAGGAAAGUGGGGGACCGCAAGGCCUCACGCUUUCGGAGCGGCCGAUGUCCGAUUAGCUAGUUGGUGGGGUAAUGGCUUACCAAGGCGACGAUCGGUAGCUGGUCUGAGAGGAUGAUCAGCCACACUGGGACUGAGACACGGCCCAGACUCCUACGGGAGGCAGCAGUGGGGAAUAUUGCACAAUGGGCGAAAGCCUGAUGCAGCAACGCCGCGUGAGCGAUGAAGGCCU
rnacentral:rRNA from 1 species